rnacentral:misc_RNA from 1 species
GGAUCACAUGGAUUCCUUGCAAUCCCAGUAAUCCAGCUCAGCACUCUACACAUGGACUCCCUUUUCCUUUCAUAGCUGGAAAUGGAUUCCUCAACAGCGUCCAAAUCUAAUACCAUAACAUCAUUUUCAUCACCAUUGUCAUCUUUCUUGCUCCCAUCCAUUUCCACCAUUGCACUCUUCACCUCUUCCUCAUCACAAACCUUCACACUUGUUAAAUUGGAUUGCAGGUCUUUCUGAAC